rnacentral:rRNA from 1 species
GACGAACGCUGGCGGCGUGCUUAACACAUGCAAGUCGAACGGAAAGGCCCUGCUUUUGUGGGGUGCUCGAGUGGCGAACGGGUGAGUAACACGUGAGUAACCUGCCCUUGACUUUGGGAUAACUUCAGGAAACUGGGGCUAAUACCGGAUAGGAGCUCCUGCUGCAUGGUGGGGGUUGGAAAGUUUCGGCGGUUGGGGCUGGACUCGCGGCUUAUCAGCUUGUUUGUGUGGUAGUGGCUUACCAAGGCUUUGACGGGUAGCCGGCCUGAGAGGGUGACCGGCCACAUUGGGACUGAGAUACGGCCCAGACGCCUACGGGAGGCAGCAGUGGGGAAUAUUGCACAAUGGGCGGAAGCCUGAUGCAGCAACGCCGCGUGCGGGAUGACGGCCUUCGGGUUGUAAACCGCUUUCGCCUGUGACGAAGCGUGAGUGACGGUAAUGGGUAAAGAAGCACCGGCUAACUACGUG